AUUGAACGCUGGCGGCAGGCCUAACACAUGCAAGUCGAGCGGUAACACAGAGAGCUUGCUCUCGGGUGACGAGCGGCGGACGGGUGAGUAAUGUCUGGGAAACUGCCUGAUGGAGGGGGAUAACUACUGGAAACGGUAGCUAAUACCGCAUAACGUCGCAAGACCAAAGUGGGGGACCUUCGGGCCUCAUGCCAUCAGAUGUGCCCAGAUGGGAUUAGCUAGUAGGUGGGGUAAUGGCUCACCUAGGCGACGAUCCCUAGCUGGUCUGAGAGGAUGACCAGCCACACUGGAACUGAGACACGGUCCAGACUCCUACGGGAGGCAGCAGUGGGGAAUAUUGCACAAUGGGCGCAAGCCUGAUGCAGCCAUGCCGCGUGUAUGAAGAAGGCCUUCGGGUUGUAAAGUACUUUCAGCGAGGAGGAAGGCGUUAAGGUUAAUAACCUUGGCGAUUGACGUUACUCGCAGAAGAAGCACCGGCUAACUCCGUGCCAGCAGCCGCGGUAAUACGGAGGGUGCAAGCGUUAAUCGGAAUUACUGGGCGUAAAGCGCACGCAGGCGGUCUGUCAAGUCGGAUGUGAAAUCCCCGGGCUCAACCUGGGAACUGCAUUCGAAACUGGCAGGCUAGAGUCUUGUAGAGGGGGGUAGAAUUCCAGGUGUAGCGGUGAAAUGCGUAGAGAUCUGGAGGAAUACCGGUGGCGAAGGCGGCCCCCUGGACAAAGACUGACGCUCAGGUGCGAAAGCGUGGGGAGCAAACAGGAUUAGAUACCCUGGUAGUCCACGCCGUAAACGAUGUCGACUUGGAGGUUGUGCCCUUGAGGCGUGGCUUCCGGAGCUAACGCGUUAAGUCGACCGCCUGGGGAGUACGGCCGCAAGGUUAAAACUCAAAUGAAUUGACGGGGGCCCGCACAAGCGGUGGAGCAUGUGGUUUAAUUCGAUGCAACGCGAAGAACCUUACCUGGUCUUGACAUCCACAGAACUUUCCAGAGAUGGAUUGGUGCCUUCGGGAACUGUGAGACAGGUGCUGCAUGGCUGUCGUCAGCUCGUGUUGUGAAAUGUUGGGUUAAGUCCCGCAACGAGCGCAACCCUUAUCCUUUGUUGCCAGCGGUCCGGCCGGGAACUCAAAGGAGACUGCCAGUGAUAAACUGGAGGAAGGUGGGGAUGACGUCAAGUCAUCAUGGCCCUUACGACCAGGGCUACACACGUGCUACAAUGGCAUAUACAAAGAGAAGCGACCUCGCGAGAGCAAGCGGACCUCAUAAAGUAUGUCGUAGUCCGGAUUGGAGUCUGCAACUCGACUCCAUGAAGUCGGAAUCGCUAGUAAUCGUAGAUCAGAAUGCUACGGUGAAUACGUUCCCGGGCCUUGUACACACCGCCCGUCACACCAUGGGAGUGGGUUGCAAAAGAAGUAGGUAGCUUAACCUUCGGGAGGGCGCUUACCACUUUGUGAUUCAUGACUGGGGUG
rnacentral:rRNA from 1 species